rnacentral:rRNA from 1 species
UACGUAGGGUGCAAGCGUUGUCCGGAAUUAUUGGGCGUAAAGAGCUCGUAGGCGGUCUGUCGCGUCGGCUGUGAAAACCCGAGGCUCAACCUCGGGCCUGCAGUGGAUACGGGCAGGCUAGAGUCAGGGUAGGGGAGAACGGAAUUCCUGGUGUAGCGGUGAAAUGCGCAGAUAUCAGGAGGAACACCGGUGGCGAAGGCGGGUCUCUGGGCCGUAACUGACGCUGAGGAGCGAAAGCAUGGGGAGCGAACAGG